rnacentral:rRNA from 1 species
UACGUAGGGUGCGAGCGUUGUCCGGACUUACUGGGCGUAAAGGGCGCGUAGGCGGUCUUGUAAGUCUUGUGUGAAAUCCCUUGGCUUAACUGAGGAACUGCACGAGAUACUGCAAGACUUGAGAUCGGGAGAGGGAAGCGGAAUUCCGGGUGUAGCGGUGAAAUGCGUAGAUAUCCGGAGGAACACCGGUGGCGAAGGCGGCUUCCUGGACCGACACUGACGCUGAGGCGCGAAAGCUAGGGGAGCAAACGGG